rnacentral:lncRNA from 1 species
GCAGUUCAUAGACGAAUGUUUGUAAGAAAAUGGAGCUGGUGAAUUCCUAAUCAACACAGGCAGCUGUAAUAGUCUCAGCUGGCCAUUGAUGCUGGAAGUGUGGCUUCUUCAAACUGAGACAUGCUGAAGCUAAAAAACAAUCAUCAAACUUCAAAGACUUGGACCAAAGAAAAAG